UUCCGGUUGAUCCUGCCGGCGGGCACCGCUAUUGGAGUUCGCUUAAGCCAUGCGAGUCGAGAGGGGUAAGCCCUCGGCGCACUGCUCAGUAACACGCGGAUAAUCUGCCCUCGAGUGGGGGAUAACCCCGGGAAACUGGGAAUAAUACCCCAUAGCCGUUCCAUGAUGGAAGGCUGGGACGGCGAAAGCUGAGGCGCUCGAGGAUGGAUCUGUGGCCUAUCAGGUCGUAGGGGGUGUCACGGACCCCCUAGCCGAAGACGGGUACGGGCUUUGAGAGAAGUCGCCCGGAGAUGGGUUCUGAGACAUGAACCCAGGUCCUACGGGACGCAGCAGGCGCGAAACCUCCACAAUGUGGGAAACCACGAUGGGGGAACUCCAAGUGGAUGCACUUUGUGUAUUCUGUUCUCGAGCCUAAAAAGCUCGAGAAGUAAGGGCCGGGUAAGACGGGUGCCAGCCGCCGCGGUAAUACCCGCGGCCCGAGUGGUGCUCAUUAUUAUUGAGUCUAAAGCGUCCGUAGCCGGCCGGGUAAAUCUCUGGGUAAAUCGGGCGGCUCAACCGUCCGAAUUCCAGAGACACUGCCCGGCUUGCGAUCGGGAGAGGGUGAUGGUACUUCUGGGGUAGGGGUAAAAUCCUGUAAUCCUGGAAGGACGACCAGUGGCGAAAGCGUUCAACUAGAACGGAUCCGACGGUGAGGAACGAGGGCUAGGGGAGCAAACCGGAUUAGAUACCCGGGUAGUCCUAGCUGUAAACACUGCCCACUUGGUGUUGCUUCUUCUAUAGGGGGGAGCAGUGCCGGAGCGAAGGUGUUAAGUGGGCCGCUUGGGGAGUAUGGUCGCAAGGCUGAAACUUAAAGGAAUUGGCGGGGGAGCACCGCAACGGGAGGAGCGUGCGGUUUAAUUGGAUUCAACGCCGGG
rnacentral:rRNA from 1 species